CUUUGGUUAAUAUUUUAAAUAAAAUAAAUUUGUAUUAUGACUUUAUAGAAUCUUUAUAAUUAUUUUUGUUUAGGUACUCUUUGGGCCAAUAUAUGCAAAUUGUUUCUUUUCUACUAUAUUUGCCGCUGCAACCUCUCAACGAUUUCGAACCUCUACAACGAAUGAAUUAAAAUUUAUAGUAUGCAAGAAAAAGAGAAAAGCGCACAUUGUGAAAACGAAAAAUAUUGCACCGAUCAACGCAAUCAUAACAAAAACAAAUAAAGAAUCAGCAUGUACACAAGAACAAACGAAACGAAAUAAGAGAAGAUUUAAAACAUAAUAGCGUUUGGGAGUGCGAAUGUUAAACUAAGGCAAAGUGGGAUCUAGCUCAUGAAGCUCCACUACCAAACAAAAAAACCUCAAAAAUGAAACCCACAUAAGCGAUAUCUUUUGCAAAAACAACUGUUGAAGCAACGAACAAUCGCAAACUGAGAACGACGAAAUACAUUCAAUGCUGACGAUACAACACAACGAUGGCGACAACUUUGACAAUGAGUAGACGUACUUAUACACGAAGCGAAGUAAAAACAACAACAAAAAUUAUGUAAUGAUGUCAUAUGCAACCAUAUGAGCUUGAAAAUAAUUUCUCAUAUUAACUUGAACAACCAGAGCAAUCACGAUCAUGGUGCUUAGGUAGCCGGCAUCUCCUAUACGAGUAUAUGGAUGAAACAAUAGAGCUUUUUGGAUAAAGCUUGCGGGAGCCGGUAUCCGUUUAACUGAAAGGCGAAAGCGGAAUAUGCAGAACUGUGUAAUAUAAAUUUAACUUAUGCCCACAUAACGACAUAGUCAAAAUUAUAAAGUUGAUAAUCCCUUGAUGAUAUUUAAUACAUAUUCAGUUUUAAUAUAAUGUUAUGAUAUCGAAUGAAAUACAAACGUACAAAAUACUAGCAA